rnacentral:rRNA from 1 species
AGUGAACGCUGGCGGUAGGCCUAACACAUGCAAGUCGAACGGCAGCACAGUAAGAGCUUGCUCUUACGGGUGGCGAGUGGCGGACGGGUGAGGAAUACAUCGGAAUCUACUUUUUCGUGGGGGAUAACGUAGGGAAACUUACGCUAAUACCGCAUACGACCUACGGGUGAAAGCAGGGGAUCUUCGGACCUUGCGCGAUUGAAUGAGCCGAUGUCGGAUUAGCUAGUUGGUGGGGUAAAGGCCCACCAAGGCGACGAUCCGUAGCUGGUCUGAGAGGAUGAUCCGCCACACUGGAACUGAGACACGGUCCAGACUCCUACGGGAGGCAGCAGUGGGGAAUAUUGGACAAUGGGCGCAAGCCUGAUCCAGCCAUACCGCGUGGGUGAAGAAGGCCUUCGGGUUGUAAAGCCCUUUUGUUGGGAAAGAAAAGCAGCAGGUUAAUCCCCCGCUGUUCUGACGGUACCCAAAGAAUAAGCACCGGCUAACUUCGUG